GAUGGCGACAGCUUUAUAAACUAGUAUCUUGGUGUCCCUAUGAAUGUCCCAUUCCUCAAAAACUCACUGCUUCAUUAAAAAAUGCUGCAUUUGCAGAGCUCAGACUGUGUUGUAUUUCAGUGUUGAUGUUGCCUUUUGUGGAGAGGUGGCUGCCAAGGUAACAAAAAUGGUCAGCAUUGUCUAACGUUACACCAUUAAGUUGUAUUUUUGGCAUUGCAGAGGAAUUGGUUGAUGCCUGUUGAUAAAGCACUUUGGUUUUCUCAAUGUUCAGUGAGAGGCCAAGCUUUUUGUAUGCUUCUGCAAAGGUAUUUAGAGUGGUUUGUAGGUCUUCUUCUGAAUGAACACUGACUACAUUAUCAUCAGCAUAUUGGAGUUCUAUAACAGAUGUUAUAACAGAUACCUCAAUAGUUUCCAUAGUCUGUUUCCCCUUUUUGAAGAGGAUGAUGAGGGUGUUGUCAGUGGUGUCCUUGAAGUCAGCUAGGAUUUUCUCAGUCACCCACACUUUUUCAAUGAACUGGUGGAGUUGUUGUGUCAGCUCAGGUCCACUCUCUUUAAAGAUUUCAACAGGGAUCCCAUCAAGUCCACUGGCUCUGUUAUUUUUUAGUUGGCUGAUGGCUUUACUGACUUCCUCCAAACUAGGCAGUGCUGCAAGCUUAUCCCUCAUUUGUUGUUGUGGGAUUUGUAUGAGAACCUCUUCAGCCACAUUGGACCUGUGGUUAAGGAGGUAAUGGUAAUACUCUUUCCAAUGCAGUGCAAUUGAUUUUUUUUUAUCCUUCAGAAGUUUGGUUCCAUCUGUUGAAUGUAGAGGGGCUAUGCCAUGAUUUGUCGGGUCAUAGAUGACCUUGGCUUGGAGAGAGCACAGUGAAUGAUGUAAUAGAAAGAGCACAUUGGAAGAGAGUGAUUCCUGAGAAGAGCAAAGUGGAUAGAAAGAGGCAUGGUGCAGUGGACAUGGCACAAUGGAAAAGAGGUCAUUGGCCCUCUUCAUAAUCUGAUUAUUAUUGAUCCUCUCUCCUAAAAAGGUCUGGAAGAGUCUGGGUCUUUGUCCAGUUCUUAGAGCAGUUUGGUUAUAAUUCUGAUGUCAGAAUACAUAACAGUCUUAUGAGAUACUAUGUGCAGAAGUGGAAAAUACAACUACAUUGAAAAGAUUCACCCAGAAGUAUCUCCCCUUUGCUGAAUGGAAAGUAUUCCAGAGAGAGCAUAAUAUGGUGGAUACAUGCAUAAAGUCUUCCAUCAUUUUAAAACUUCAGCCUAUAAGUUUUAAAGCCAUAAGUGCUCACACUGAAGAUAAUACCUGGUAUAUGAGAGGAGUCAUGAAGAUGUCUGGAGGGUUUCUGCAUCACUGUUAAAUUUCCACUUCACUACCAGUAUGGUUGUAUGGUUCUUCCUGUAAAUAACUAUGAUGACUGGGAAUUUAGCUCAACAGAUGGGUUGCUUUGCACUCGCUUUUAACUGUGAGAACUGUUGAAG